AAAAUAACACCCUAUCAAAACCAAAGAGCCUUUUGUGCCAAAUAAGAAACCAAUCAAUAAUUCAUGACUCCCAAUUGCUCAAAGUAGUGUAAAUCAUCUCUACACCUUUCACCCAUGCAACACAUCCACAAGAUUACCAUUCCCAAGUUCACUUGAAUGAAUUCAUUUCUCCAAAUACAGUUACCAAUUCCCCUUAAGAACUCCUCAAUCAUCCCUGAUCCUCAAGGUAACAUGGGCCAAAACCUAUUAACAGCAAAUGCCUGUAACACAUGUU